UUACGGUCAAAUCACGCUGAAACACCGGUUCUCGUACGAUCACCGAAGUUAAGCAUCGUAGAGCCAGGUCAGUACUUAGAUGUGGGACCGCUUGGGAACACCUGGUACUGUAAG
rnacentral:rRNA from 1 species